CGGUAAGGGUGCGAGCGUUAUCCGGGAAUUAUUGGGGCGUAAAGAGCUCGUAGGCGGUUUGUCGCGUCUGUCGUGAAAGUCCGGGGGCUUAACCCCGGGAUCUGCGGUGGGUACGGGCAGACUAGAGUGCAGUAGGGGAGACUGGAAUUCCUGGUGUAGCGGUGGAAUGCGCAGAUAUCAGGAGGAACACCGAUGGCGAAGGCAGGUCUCUGGGCUGUAACUGACGCUGAGGAGCGAAAGCAUGGGGAGCGAACAGGAUUAGAUACCCUGGUAGUCCAUGCCGUAAACGUUGGGCACUAGGUGUGGGGACCAUUCCACGGUUUCCGCGCCGCAGCUAACGCAUUAAGUGCCCCGCCUGGGGAGUACGGCCGCAAGGCUAAAACUCAAAGGAAUUGACGGGGGCCCGCACAAGCGGCGGAGCAUGCGGAUUAAUUCGAUGCAACGCGAAGAACCUUACCAAGGCUUGACAUGUUCUCGAUCGCCGUAGAGAUACGGUUUCCCCUUUGGGGCGGGUUCACAGGUGGUGCAUGGUUGUCGUCAGCUCGUGUCGUGAGA
rnacentral:rRNA from 1 species